UACGUAGGGAGCAAGCGUUGUUCGGAUUUACUGGGCGUAAAGGGCGCGUAGGCGGCAAUUCAAGUCAUCUGUGAAAUCUCCGGGCUUAACUCGGAACGGUCAGAUGAUACUGUCUUGCUAGAGUGCAGAAGGGGCAAUCGGAAUUCUUGGUGUAGCGGUGAAAUGCGUAGAUAUCUGGAGGAACACCGGUGGCGAAGGCGGCAUCCUGGACCAAUACUGACGCUGAGGAGCGAAAGCUAGGGGAGCAAACGGG
rnacentral:rRNA from 1 species